GGUUAAUGUAGCUUAAUAAUUAAAGCAAGGCAUUGAAAAUGCCUAGAUGAGAUCACCAACUCCAUAAACA
rnacentral:tRNA from 1 species